rnacentral:rRNA from 1 species
AUUACCGCGGCUGCUGGCACAGAGUUAGCCGGUGCUUAUUCUGUCGGUAACGUCAAAAUUGCAGAGUAUUAAUCUACAACCCUUCCUCCCAACUUAAAAUGCUUUACAAUCCGAAGACCUUCUUCACACACGCGGCAUGGCUGGAUCAGGCUUUCGCCCAUUGUCCAAUAUUCCCCACUGCUGCCUCCCGUAGGAGUCUGGACCGUGUCUCAGUUCCAGUGUGACUGAUCAUCCUCUCAGACCAGUUACGGAUCGUCGCCUUGGUGAGCCAUUACCCCACCAACUAGCUAAUCCGACCUAGGCUCAUCUGAUAGCGCAAGGCCCGAAGGUCCCCUGCUUUCUCCCGUAGGACGUAUGCGGUAUUAGCGUCCGUUUCCGAACGUUAUCCCCCACUACCAGGCAGAUUCCUAGGCAUUACUCACCCGUCCGCCGCUCUCAAGAGAAGCAAGCUUCUCUCUACCGCUCGACUUGCAUGUGUUAGGCCUGCCGCCAGCGUUCAAUCUGAGCCAGGAUCAAACUCU